CCAAGUGGCACAGGACGCUCAGUGGACGGACCUUUCUGUAGUUCACACUGUGGGUCCUCACCACGAAUGCCAGGCACCUGACAAGCCCAGAGGGAGAAAUCAAAGUGUGUUUGAGAGAAAAACAUGAGCGUUAAAGAGAAACCGAGGAAGAGAGACAGGAAAUGUGGGAGAAAGAGAGAACGAGGGGGGAUGACAAGGAGAAAAGAGCCAUGGGCUGGACUCGAACCUGGGCUCUUGAGAUCCUUACCCCUGCAAAGUACAAACGGCCCACUGAAGGAAGUAUAGGCAGGAAGCGGCCGCACUCUGGUCCACUCUGAAGGACGAUCUGCCUUUCGUCUACAUAACAGAAUGUCUCGCUCACAGC